rnacentral:rRNA from 1 species
UACGGGGGGGGGCAAGCGUUGCUCGGAAUCACUGGGCGUAAAGGGCGCGUAGGCGGGAUGGCAAGUCGGUCGUGAAAUCCCUCGGCUCAACCGAGGAACGUCGAUCGAUACUGCUGUUCUUGAGGAUUGCAGAGGAGACUGGAAUUCCCGGUGUAGCGGUGAAAUGCGUAGAUAUCUGGAGGAACACCGGUGGCGAAGGCGGCAUCCUGGACCAUAUUGACGCUGAGGAGCGAAAGCCAGGGGAGCAAACGGG